UCCUGAGGAGGAGCGUUGCGACCCGCAGUGUUUGCCUGUUGUUUGGUUUGAGCAGCAGCAGGUGCCCUGCGUCCUUGGGUUUUUUGUUGCCUGUGAACUUGAGCCUUUUUGGCACAUCAACAGAUUCCCGAAACACUGGAAUGAUCAGGUUCAGCUUUCUGUGCUUAGAUCUGGUUGCAUCAUGAAGUGGGAUGGCCGCAGUGGGAGCUCGAGCGCAGCCAUGACCGAAGAGUUCAGAUAUGGUUUGAUGAAGGAUGGCGAGCCUGCCCGGUGGCACAGUGCGGCUCAGGGCUCCGUGACAAAGUUCAAAUUAUUUCCAGGUUGCCGGGAACUUCUACAGCCCCCUUAUCAAUAAAUCCUGCCAGUUGCAGCAGCAGUUUGUUAUGACA